CCUACGGGCGGCAGCAGUGAGGAAUAUUGGUCAAUGGGCUUACGCCUGAACCAGCCAAGCCGCGUGAGGGAAGACUGCCCUAUGGGUUGUAAACCUCUUUUGUCAGGGAGCAACGCCGGCUACGUGUAGCCGGACUGAGAGUCCCUGAAGAAAAAGCAUCGGCUAACUCCGUGCCAGCGUCCGCGGUAAUACGUAGGGUGCGAGCGUUAUCCGGAGUUAUUGGGUUGAAAGGGUGCGUAGGCGGAAUGCCAAGUCAGCGGUAAAAUCGCGGGGCUCAACCUCGGUCUGCCGUUGAAACUGGCGUUCUUGAGUGGGCGAGAGGUAUGCGGAAUGCGUGGUGUAGCGGUGAAAUGCGUAGAUAUCACGCAGAACUCCGAUUGCGAAGGCAGCAUACCGGCGCCCAACUGACGCUGAAGCGCGAAAGCGUGGGUAUCGAACAGGAUUAGAUACCCCGGUAGUC
rnacentral:rRNA from 1 species